UGUGUUCCCAUACAUUUAUUUAUUUUUGGAGACUCGCCACAAUUUUAAAACUUAUCGAUUUUCAAAAAGGCUUUGUUGAAUAAACAUGAGUAACGUUACGUACUGCACGUUUAAUAAUUCCUAACAUUUAUAUGUUUAAAUAUAAAAACGAGGCACACGUGUUUUUAUAUCGCUGUAUUUCUGAAGGAAGACUUGCAUGUUAUAUGCCUGAUAAAGCAGCGAGUGAGCGUAGCUCUGCUUUGUUUACAGCUGUUACUGGGGAAACCUCUAUUUCUCGCGCUUUAUGUCUAUGCUUUAAAACAUCUCCUGCUGGCAAAGGAUGAAUUUGCAUUUUCAUCAAGUCCACCUGAUCCACACAGAAAACACAUUUUGUUUGUUAUCAAAAAAUAUCUACUCUAGAGGGACUUGGCUGUUGUUAUUGAUUCUAUUUGGAAGUCUACCGGUUAGGUUAGGUCCACAAAAGCGCGCAUGUGCAGUAACGUUUGUUUAUGUUGUUGCCGUUGAAACCGUCUAUAUAUAUAUAUGUGUGUGUGUGUGUGUGUAUAAUGUAUGUGUGUGUAAAAUAAAUUUCUUUUAAAUUUAUAGCACAGUAAUGAAGGCAGCAACAUGUGGUAGAUGGGACAGAACAAGAAUCUAUCAUUGUGCUAAUGUAUUAUAAUACGAAAGGGAAUGGCUCCUAUACAGCGUGCAGCACGUAAACACAACCAGUGCGCAGAAUGAUGCACUUGAAGCAACACAGAGUCACAGUGUGUAGCAUUACUCACAGAAAUGUUCAAAACACCAAAGGAAGAGAUAUUGUUGUGUAUUAUAUGUGUGCAAUAUUUUGAGCCUUUUCUUUUAACAGUUUUAAAUAUCAGUUAUUGUGCGCUCUUGAAGAGAGUUUCAUUGUUUUGACUGUAGUAACUAUGAUGGGAUGAUACGCUAAUCUGCCAAUUCAAUACUAUCCCGAUACUUGUGUGCCGAUUCAAUAUAUAUUUAUAAUUAUAUAUAUAUAUAAUUUAGCAUUGUGAUUAUAGUUAUAUAACUAUUGCAAUUCGUGACUUAUCCAAAUUGUCUGUAAAAUGAUGUUUGUUUCUGUAGAUUUGAGGGAAAGAUUAAAAACAAGGAGGUCUGGGAACGACUGAAGGGAUCUGACAGCAGGGAGGGAAGGAAGUUAUCACCAGAAUCUCAGAGGAUGUUGACAGUGCAGGCCCAGGAUGAAGAAGAAGAGGAGGAACGCGUUUAACAAUUUUCUCAUAAGCUUGCCAUGUGUUAUAAUAAAAACAAUGAACAUGACUACAAUAAUAUGCUAAAUGUUAUUAAAAGAUUCCAGUUUGCAAGAAGUCUGAGUGUCUGACUCUACACUAGAGGAACUCUUUUCUGAAGAAGAUCAGGUGCUGAGAAGGAGCUUUGUUCUACAGCAAAACACUGCAUCAAGCCUCCUGUCCUUCCCUCAGAAGAGCCUGUCUUCUGCUGCUGGGGUAAGAAACACACUCUUCCUCUUCUCUAUCAGCUGUCCAGCACCUAACUCUGCCUCCUCAGCACUGUCUGAAAGAGUCUUCUCCACAGUCAGUAAUCACAGAUCACAGAUUCUUCUGAGAAAGUCGAUAUGCUCAUUUUCUUAAAAAACUUUGUUUUUUCGGGUGGGACAAAUAAUACAGGAGAGAUGCUAGAAAUCUCUAUAUUGUUCAUUUUUCAUAUCUUUACGCUUUAUGAAUGUUUUUCUUCUGAGAAGCUCAAAAAUUAUGGUUCUUUGGUAAUUGCUUUAUUGUUUAGUUUUAUCCUCUGAUAGUGAGCACAGAGCCCUGAUCAUGACAUGCAAGAAAAAGAAAGAAAUCCUGUCCAUGAUUUACUAAUUCGUUCCCUCUAUGUACUAACACGUGCACAAUUACUUUUACAUUUCAUUGAUUUGCUAAAUCGUAUGCACAAUUUACUAAUUCGUUAUCUUGAUGUAUAAAUAGUGUACACGUUUUAGCAAAUCGAGGGAAUGAAAUAGAAAAUCGUGCGCAUGAAUUAGCCUAAAUUUUUUUCUGCAUGUCGUGUAAUUAAAGCACAUCACCACCAGGAACCUCUUAUAGGACGCUCACAGUUUUACUUUGUGCAGUAUCUCUGUGCAGUAUCUGCUGAAUUGUUUCAUAUCUAUUUAUCAUGUAUUUUUUGUUGCACUAAAUUAUGUUGUAUCAAUAAGUUUACUGAUAAUUAUUUUUAAUUUUCACUAAUAACGUCAUUAACCAUCUCCCCAUCUUUAAGACAAAAAUUUUCUAUUGUUUAUAUUGUGUAAUCUAUGAAUUGAUGUGUUUAGUUUUCUGUGCUCAUAACUUAGUAACAUUUUGCAUGGUUAAAGAACAGGUGCGAUGUUCAAAAUGUUUUGGCUUCGUAUUUGUACAAAGUAGUGCUGAAUAAAUAUUGAUUUGUGAAUGAA